UUAAGCGACUAAGCGUACACGGUGGAUGCCCUGGCAGUCAGGAGGCGAUGAAGGACGUGCUAAUCUGCGAUAAGCGUCGGUAAGGUGAUAUGAACCGUUAUAACCGGCGAUUUCCGAAUGGGGAAACCCAGUGUGUUUCGACACACUAUCAUUAACUGAAUCCAUAGGUUAAUGAGGCGAACCGGGGGAACUGAAACAUCUAAGUACCCCGAGGAAAAGAAAUCAACCGAGAUUCCCCCAGUAGCGGCGAGCGAACGGGGAGCAGCCCAGAGCCUGAAUCAGUGUGUGUGUUAGUGGAAGCGUCUGGAAAGGCGCGCGAUACAGGGUGACAGCCCCGUACACAAAAAUGCACAUGCUGUGAGCUCGAUGAGUAGGGCGGGACACGUGGUAUCCUGUCUGAAUAUGGGGGGACCAUCCUCCAAGGCUAAAUACUCCUGACUGACCGAUAGUGAACCAGUACCGUGAGGGAAAGGCGAAAAGAACCCCGGCGAGGGGAGUGAAAAAGAACCUGAAACCGUGUACGUACAAGCAGUGGGAGCACGCUUAGGCGUGUGACUGCGUACCUUUUGUAUAAUGGGUCAGCGACUUAUAUUCUGUAGCAAGGUUAACCGAAUAGGGGAGCCGAAGGGAAACCGAGUCUUAACUGGGCGUUAAGUUGCAGGGUAUAGACCCGAAACCCGGUGAUCUAGCCAUGGGCAGGUUGAAGGUUGGGUAACACUAACUGGAGGACCGAACCGACUAAUGUUGAAAAAUUAGCGGAUGACUUGUGGCUGGGGGUGAAAGGCCAAUCAAACCGGGAGAUAGCUGGUUCUCCCCGAAAGCUAUUUAGGUAGCGCCUCGUGAAUUCAUCUCCGGGGGUAGAGCACUGUUUCGGCAAGGGGGUCAUCCCGACUUACCAACCCGAUGCAAACUGCGAAUACCGGAGAAUGUUAUCACGGGAGACACACGGCGGGUGCUAACGUCCGUCGUGAAGAGGGAAACAACCCAGACCGCCAGCUAAGGUCCCAAAGUCAUGGUUAAGUGGGAAACGAUGUGGGAAGGCCCAGACAGCCAGGAUGUUGGCUUAGAAGCAGCCAUCAUUUAAAGAAAGCGUAAUAGCUCACUGGUCGAGUCGGCCUGCGCGGAAGAUGUAACGGGGCUAAACCAUGCACCGAAGCUGCGGCAGCGACGCUUAUGCGUUGUUGGGUAGGGGAGCGUUCUGUAAGCCUGCGAAGGUGUGCUGUGAGGCAUGCUGGAGGUAUCAGAAGUGCGAAUGCUGACAUAAGUAACGAUAAAGCGGGUGAAAAGCCCGCUCGCCGGAAGACCAAGGGUUCCUGUCCAACGUUAAUCGGGGCAGGGUGAGUCGACCCCUAAGGCGAGGCCGAAAGGCGUAGUCGAUGGGAAACAGGUUAAUAUUCCUGUACUUGGUGUUACUGCGAAGGGGGGACGGAGAAGGCUAUGUUGGCCGGGCGACGGUUGUCCCGGUUUAAGCGUGUAGGCUGGUUUUCCAGGCAAAUCCGGAAAAUCAAGGCUGAGGCGUGAUGACGAGGCACUACGGUGCUGAAGCAACAAAUGCCCUGCUUCCAGGAAAAGCCUCUAAGCAUCAGGUAACAUCAAAUCGUACCCCAAACCGACACAGGUGGUCAGGUAGAGAAUACCAAGGCGCUUGAGAGAACUCGGGUGAAGGAACUAGGCAAAAUGGUGCCGUAACUUCGGGAGAAGGCACGCUGAUAUGUAGGUGAAGCGACUUGCUCGUGGAGCUGAAAUCAGUCGAAGAUACCAGCUGGCUGCAACUGUUUAUUAAAAACACAGCACUGUGCAAACACGAAAGUGGACGUAUACGGUGUGACGCCUGCCCGGUGCCGGAAGGUUAAUUGAUGGGGUUAGCGCAAGCGAAGCUCUUGAUCGAAGCCCCGGUAAACGGCGGCCGUAACUAUAACGGUCCUAAGGUAGCGAAAUUCCUUGUCGGGUAAGUUCCGACCUGCACGAAUGGCGUAAUGAUGGCCAGGCUGUCUCCACCCGAGACUCAGUGAAAUUGAACUCGCUGUGAAGAUGCAGUGUACCCGCGGCAAGACGGAAAGACCCCGUGAACCUUUACUAUAGCUUGACACUGAACAUUGAGCCUUGAUGUGUAGGAUAGGUGGGAGGCUUUGAAGUGUGGACGCCAGUCUGCAUGGAGCCGACCUUGAAAUACCACCCUUUAAUGUUUGAUGUUCUAACGUUGACCCGUAAUCCGGGUUGCGGACAGUGUCUGGUGGGUAGUUUGACUGGGGCGGUCUCCUCCUAAAGAGUAACGGAGGAGCACGAAGGUUGGCUAAUCCUGGUCGGACAUCAGGAGGUUAGUGCAAUGGCAUAAGCCAGCUUGACUGCGAGCGUGACGGCGCGAGCAGGUGCGAAAGCAGGUCAUAGUGAUCCGGUGGUUCUGAAUGGAAGGGCCAUCGCUCAACGGAUAAAAGGUACUCCGGGGAUAACAGGCUGAUACCGCCCAAGAGUUCAUAUCGACGGCGGUGUUUGGCACCUCGAUGUCGGCUCAUCACAUCCUGGGGCUGAAGUAGGUCCCAAGGGUAUGGCUGUUCGCCAUUUAAAGUGGUACGCGAGCUGGGUUUAGAACGUCGUGAGACAGUUCGGUCCCUAUCUGCCGUGGGCGCUGGAGAACUGAGGGGGGCUGCUCCUAGUACGAGAGGACCGGAGUGGACGCAUCACUGGUGUUCGGGUUGUCAUGCCAAUGGCACUGCCCGGUAGCUAAAUGCGGAAGAGAUAAGUGCUGAAAGCAUCUAAGCACGAAACUUGCCCCGAGAUGAGUUCUCCCUGACUCCUUGAGAGUCCUGAAGGAACGUUGAAGACGACGACGUUGAUAGGCCGGGUGUGUAAGCGCAGCGAUGCGUUGAGCUAACCGGUACUAAUGAACCGUGAGGCUUAACCUU
rnacentral:rRNA from 1 species